rnacentral:rRNA from 1 species
GGUUAAGCGACUAAGCGUACACGGUGGAUGCCCUGGCAGUCAGAGGCGAUGAAGGACGUGCUAAUCUGCGAAAAGCGUCGGUAAGGUGAUAUGAACCGUUAUAACCGGCGAUGUCCGAAUGGGGAAACCCAGUGCAAUUCGUUGCACUAUCGUUAACUGAAUACAUAGGUUAACGAGGCGAACCGGGGGAACUGAAACAUCUAAGUACCCCGAGGAAAAGAAAUCAACCGAGAUUCCCCCAGUAGCGGCGAGCGAACGGGGAGCAGCCCAGAGUCUGAAUCAGCUUGUGUGUUAGUGGAACGGUCUGGAAAGUCCGACGGUACAGGGUGAUAGUCCCGUACACCAAAAUGCACAGGUUGUGAACUCGAAGAGUAGGGCGGGACACGUGGUAUCCUGUCUGAAUAUGGGGGGACCAUCCUCCAAGGCUAAAUACUCCUGACUGACCGAUAGUGAACCAGUACCGUGAGGGAAAGGCGAAAAGAACCCCGGCGAGGGGAGUGAAAAAGAACCUGAAACCGUGUACGUACAAGCAGUGGGAGCACCUUCGGGUGUGACUGCGUACCUUUUGUAUAAUGGGUCAGCGACUUAUAUUCUGUAGCAAGGUUAACCGUAUAGGGGAGCCGCAGGGAAACCGAGUCUUAACUGGGCGUUAAGUUGCAGGGUAUAGACCCGAAACCCGGUGAUCUAGCCAUGGGCAGGUUGAAGGUUGGGUAACACUAACUGGAGGACCGAACCGACUAAUGUUGAAAAAUUAGCGGAUGACUUGUGGCUGGGGGUGAAAGGCCAAUCAAACCGGGAGAUAGCUGGUUCUCCCCGAAAGCUAUUUAGGUAGCGCCUCGUGAACUCAUCUUCGGGGGUAGAGCACUGUUUCGGCUAGGGGGUCAUCCCGACUUACCAACCCGAUGCAAACUACGAAUACCGAAGAAUGUUAUCACGGGAGACACACGGCGGGUGCUAACGUCCGUCGUGAAGAGGGAAACAACCCAGACCGCCAGCUAAGGUCCCAAAGUCAUGGUUAAGUGGGAAACGAUGUGGGAAGGCACAGACAGCCAGGAUGUUGGCUUAGAAGCAGCCAUCAUUUAAAGAAAGCGUAAUAGCUCACUGGUCGAGUCGGCCUGCGCGGAAGAUGUAACGGGGCUAAACCAUGCACCGAAGCUGCGGCAGCGACACUAUGUGUUGUUGGGUAGGGGAGCGUUCUGUAAGCCUGCGAAGGUGACCUGUGAGGGUUGCUGGAGGUAUCAGAAGUGCGAAUGCUGACAUAAGUAACGAUAAAGCGGGUGAAAAGCCCGCUCGCCGGAAGACCAAGGGUUCCUGUCCAACGUUAAUCGGGGCAGGGUGAGUCGACCCCUAAGGCGAGGCCGAAAGGCGUAGUCGAUGGGAAACAGGUUAAUAUUCCUGUACUUGGUGUUACUGCGAAGGGGGGACGGAGAAGGCUAUGUUAGCCGGGCGACGGUUGUCCCGGUUUAAGCAUGUAGGCUGGUUAUCCAGGCAAAUCCGGAUAAUCAAGGCUGAGGUGUGAUGACGAGGCACUACGGUGCUGAAGUAACAAAUGCCCUGCUUCCAGGAAAAGCCUCUAAGCAUCAGGUAACAUUAAAUCGUACCCCAAACCGACACAGGUGGUCAGGUAGAGAAUACCAAGGCGCUUGAGAGAACUCGGGUGAAGGAACUAGGCAAAAUGGUGCCGUAACUUCGGGAGAAGGCACGCUGGUGUGUAGGUGAAGCCCCUGCGGGUGGAGCUGAGACCAGUCGAAGAUACCAGCUGGCUGCAACUGUUUAUUAAAAACACAGCACUGUGCAAACACGAAAGUGGACGUAUACGGUGUGACGCCUGCCCGGUGCCGGAAGGUUAAUUGAUGGGGUUAUCCGUAAGGAGAAGCUCUUGAUCGAAGCCCCGGUAAACGGCGGCCGUAACUAUAACGGUCCUAAGGUAGCGAAAUUCCUUGUCGGGUAAGUUCCGACCUGCACGAAUGGCGUAAUGAUGGCCAGGCUGUCUCCACCCGAGACUCAGUGAAAUUGAACUCGCUGUGAAGAUGCAGUGUACCCGCGGCAAGACGGAAAGACCCCGUGAACCUUUACUAUAGCUUGACACUGAACAUUGAGCCUUGAUGUGUAGGAUAGGUGGGAGGCUUUGAAGCGUGGACGCCAGUCUGCGUGGAGCCAACCUUGAAAUACCACCCUUUAAUGUUUGAUGUUCUAACGUUGGCCCCUUACCGGGGUUGCGGACAGUGUCUGGUGGGUAGUUUGACUGGGGCGGUCUCCUCCCAAAGCGUAACGGAGGAGCACGAAGGUUAGCUAAUCCUGGUCGGACAUCAGGAGGUUAGUGCAAUGGCAUAAGCUAGCUUGACUGCGAGCGUGACGGCGCGAGCAGGUGCGAAAGCAGGUCAUAGUGAUCCGGUGGUUCUGAAUGGAAGGGCCAUCGCUCAACGGAUAAAAGGUACUCCGGGGAUAACAGGCUGAUACCGCCCAAGAGUUCAUAUCGACGGCGGUGUUUGGCACCUCGAUGUCGGCUCAUCACAUCCUGGGGCUGAAGUAGGUCCCAAGGGUAUGGCUGUUCGCCAUUUAAAGUGGUACGCGAGCUGGGUUUAGAACGUCGUGAGACAGUUCGGUCCCUAUCUGCCGUGGGCGCUGGAGAAUUGAGGGGGGCUGCUCCUAGUACGAGAGGACCGGAGUGGACGCAUCACUGGUGUUCGGGUUGUCAUGCCAAUGGCACUGCCCGGUAGCUAAAUGCGGAAGAGAUAAGUGCUGAAAGCAUCUAAGCACGAAACUUGCCCCGAGAUGAGUUCUCCCUGAGACUUUAAGUCUCCUGAAGGAACGUUAAAGACGAUGACGUUGAUAGGCCGGGUGUGUAAGCGCAGCGAUGCGUUGAGCUAACCGGUACUAAUGAACCGUGAGGCUUAACCUU